AACGCUUCCCGCAGCACUUAAGUUAACUAUUAUAAGUCUGAAACUAACCCUGAUGGUAUAUUUCUGAAUUUGCCUGGUUCAUUUAGUGUAUUUGCUUAUUUAUCCGCAGUAACAACCCACCGAGACAUUCUCGCUCAAGCAGUCUUUACGGCCAAAAUACUGCCUCCCCCCGAUACAUUUAGCCAGCCGGACGUAACAAUUCAGUCUGUACACGAAAAUAUUGACACUGAGCCAGCACCAGCACAAGAUCUGUCUCGCCCUGCCUCAUCUUCUCAGCACCCUGUAGCAUCAGUCAACUGCUGUGCCAGAAUAAAACACAAGAGGAGGCCCAUUCUCAGAAGCCUACGUUCAUCAGUCCUGAGAUUUCAGCAGUGACAUGCAGUCAGGGGAGAUCCGUCGCUUCAGCCGGGAAACCUGAAGCUUCCUGCUCACCUUUGAGAAAAGUGUGGAUAUAUGGAUUAAAGAUUGAACUGCUUUGUUUCUCAA